UGGGCCUUGGUAUGGAAACCCGCCGAGUGAGAACUUUCAAAUUCAGAGAAACCCCGGAAUUAAUAAAAAGGGGCAAUCCUGAGCCAAAUCCUGUUUUCUGAAAACAAAGGUUCAGAAAAUGAAAAAAAAAAAAGGGAUAGGUGCAGAGACUCAAUGGAAGCUGUUCUAACAAAUGGAGUUGGCUGCGGUAGUAGAGAAGUCUUUCCAUCAAAAAUUCAGUAAGUAUUAAGUAUAAGUAUUAAGGAUGAGGUGAGGGAUAAACGUAUAUACAUACGUAGUGAAUAGUAUAGUAAAUGAGUAAUGACAGCCCGAAUGAAUCUAUGUUUUUUCAUAGAAAAAACAUAGAAUUAGUGUGAAUAGAUUCUACGUUGAAUAAAGAAUCGAAUAUUCAUUGAUCAAAUGAUUCACUCCAUACCAUAUUCUGAUAAAUCUUUUCAAGAACUGAUUAAUCAGACGAGAAUAAAGAUAGAGUCCCAUUCCACAUGUCAAUGCCGGCAGCAAUGAAAUUUAUAGUUAAGAGGAAAAUCCGUCGACUUUUCAAAUCGUGAGGGUUCAAGUCCCUCUAUCCCCAAAUAAACUAUUUGACUCCCUACCUAUUAUGCCUCUUUUUGUUAUCGGUUCCAACUUCUUUAUCCCUUCACUCUAUUCUCUUAGAAUCGAUCGGUGCGGAAAUGCCCUUUUUUUAUCACAUCUAUAUGAUAUACAUCCAAAUGAACAUCCUUGAGCAAGAAAUACCCAUUUGAAUGAUUUACAAUCUAUAUAAUAUCUCUAUAUAAUAGAAUUACUAAUACGGAAACUCCCAAAGUCCUCUUUUUUAAGAUCCAAGCCAAGCAAUUUCAGUACCUAAAUAAAACUUGGGAAUUCCCUUUCCUUCUUGUAAUUGACACAGCCCCCAUUUUCGAGUAAAAUAAAAUGAGGAUGCUACAUUGGAACUGGUCGGGAUAGCUCAGCUGGUAGAGCAGAGGACUGAAAAUCCUCGUGU
rnacentral:misc_RNA from 1 species